CCGAGUUCUCGCCCCUCGCGGGGUAGACCUCCCACACCCACUGUGAUCACUACCGUCGUUGCUUUGGCGGGCCGCCGGGCCCCGCCCGGCCACCGGCUACGGCCGGCGCGCGCCCGCCAGAGGCCCUACAAACGCUGGAUAUCAGUGCCGUCUGAGUACCAUUUUCAAUCGUUA
rnacentral:misc_RNA from 1 species